rnacentral:ncRNA from 1 species
AAAUAGGUUUUUAUAAAAACCACAAUCAACUGCUUUGCCAAAGUAU